rnacentral:rRNA from 1 species
CCCUUAGAUGUCCUGGGCCGCACGCGCGCUACACUGAUGAAGGCAGCGAGUCCACCUUGGUCGGAAGGCCCGGGUAAUCUUGUGAAACUUCAUCGUGAUGGGGAUAGAUCAUUGCAAUUAUUGAUCUUCAACGAGGAAUUCCUAGUAAGCGCAAGUCAUCAGCUUGCGUUGAUUACGUCCCUGCCCUUUGUACACACCGCCCGUCGCUCCUACCGAUUGUGCGCACAGGUGAGGACUAGGGAGCCCCGAUGUAGGGUAGUUUCUACCCCACUUUGGGACGAACUUGUCCAAAUCUUUUCACAUAGAGGAAGGAGAAGUCGUAACA